GAUUCCCCUAGUAACGGCGAGUGAAGAGGGAAGAGCUCAAAUUUGUAAUCUGGCGGCCUACGGUCGUCCGAGUUGUAAUCUAGAGAGGUGUUUUCCGUGCCGGACCGUGUACAAGUCCCUUGGAACAGGGCGUCGUAGAGGGUGAGAAUCCCGUCCAUGACACGGACUCCCGGUGCUCUGUGAUACACCUUCAAAGAGUCGAGUUGUUUGGGAAUGCAGCUCAAAAUGGGUGGUAAAUUCCAUCUAAAGCUAAAUACAGGCGAGAGACCGAUAGCGAACAAGUACCGUGAGGGAAAGAUGAAAAGAACUUUGGAAAGAGAGUUAAACAGUACGUGAAAUUGUUGAAAGGGAAACGCUUGAAGUCAGUCGCGUCUUCCGAGACUCAGCCUUGCUUCUGCUUGGUGCAAUUCUCGGUCGAUGGGCCAGCAUCAAUUUUGGGCGCAGGAAAAAGGCGUGGGGAAUGUGGCAGCCUCGGCUGUGUUAUAGCCUCACGUCACACGCUGCGCCUGGGAUUGAGGAAUGCAGCUUCUGCUUAGGAUGCUGGCGAAAUGGCUUUAAACGACCCGUCUUGAAACACGGACCAAGGAGUCUAACAUGCCUGCNAGUGUUUGGGUGUAAAACCCGGGCGCGUAAUGAAAGUGAAAAGUUGGGACUCUUUAGUGAGGCACCGACGCCCGAUCCUGAAGUUUUCCGACGGAUUUGAGGCAGAGCAUGUAUGUUGGGACCCGAAAGAUGGUGAACUAUGCCUGAAUAUGGUGAAGCCAGAGGAAA
rnacentral:rRNA from 1 species